rnacentral:tRNA from 1 species
GCGGGUGUAGCAUAGUGGUAAUGCAUCGGCUUCCCAAGCCGACGAGGAGAGUUCGAUUCUCUUCACCCGCU